AGUUUUCCAACGUCUAGCACACAUCGUUUACGGCAUGGACUACGAGGGUAUCUAAUCCUCUUCGCUACCCAUGCUUUCGUUCCUCAGUGUCAGUAAUGAUCCAGAAAGUUGCCUUCGCAUUUGAUGUUCUUUCUAAUAUCUACGAAUUUCACCUCUACACUAGAAAUUCCACUUUCCUCUAUCAUACUCUAGCUAAAAAGUUUUGAUGGCAGUUCCAAGGUUGAGCCUUGGGAUUUCACCAUCAACUUUUUUAACCACCUACGAACUCUUUAAGCCCAGUAAUUCCGAACUACGCUAGGUCCCUUCGUAUUACCGCGGCUGCUGGCACGAAGUUAGCCGGACCUUCUUAUUCGGGUACAGUCAUUUUCUUCCCCGACGAAAGAGUUUUACAACCCAAAGGCCUUCUUCACUCACGCGGCAUCGCUGCAUCAGGGUUGCCCCCAUUGUGCAAGAUUCCCCACUGCUGCCUCCCGUAGGAGUUUGGGCCGUGUCUCAGUCCCAAUGUGGCUGGUCUUCCUCUAAGAACAGCUAUUGAUCGUUGCCUUGGUAAGCAGUUACCUUACCAACUAGCUAAUCAAGUGCGGGCUCAUCUUUUGGCAUUAAAACUUUCCCUGUAAAGGCUUAUCCGGUAUUAGCACAAGUUUCCUCGUGUUAUUCCGAACCAAAAGGCAGAUUCCCACAUUAUACUCACCCGUCUGCCACUCAGUAUUGCUACUGCGUUCGACUUGCAUGUGUUAGGCGUGCCGCCAGCGUACGUUCUGAGCCAGGAUCAAACUCU
rnacentral:rRNA from 1 species